rnacentral:misc_RNA from 1 species
GGGCGCGAUCGACCUGCUUCUCGUCGGCGGUGCCGCUCUUGAUCAUUUCGAGUCCAAAAACGAAAAGUCAAGCCACGAAAAGCGGAGAAGCAACGGUGGUGUCACGGCUGCGUCUCUGCUGUGCCUUUAUUGAGCCCCCCCCGCCGCGCCAUCCACGUUGCAACGAGCACGACAACACACAGCAAAAGGGAAGGAGUAGCGACAGCCCGACGUAGAAGCUGGCAGCUCAGCUCCGCCGUCAGUGCGAGCCCGCUCUCCCCCCCCUCCUCCUCCUCCACCCCCUCCCGACUCGCGCGUUGACUUUUCUACCGUACGUGUGCGCCGCCCCGCUUGCGGAUUAUUCCUUUCUUCUUUUUUUGUGGGGGUGGCUCCUCCCGCUAUUCCUUGGUUGUCUACACGCGUCAAUCUGCCGGUGUGUCUGUUGUCGCCCUGCCUGCAAGGGCGUGCGUGCGUCAUCCGUUCCCAUCUGUGCCGCGUGCAGCACACGCUUGCCCGCACGCAGUUGGGCGAGGGGGGACAAGGGCCAGGGCAUACACAUAUACAACUAAAGGUGAAGACGGUCCAUCCUAUCGACCACAUUCUCCGUUACCGUUACACAGGCACCCUCACACGCACGUGCGCAAGCAGCUGCGCUCCGUGGCCGCACGACGUCAAGCAAGCAAAGGCAUACGGAGAGGGGAAAAGGGUGCGGGGCAGAGUGUGUAACACGCAAGCAGGCGUGCGUGCACCGCUGCGGCGCCACCCGUUCGGUGGGCCGCUCUUUCUCUCUAUUAAGUGUAACGUCUCUGUCUUCAGGCUCGCUUUUCUUCGCUACCACUGUUGUUGUCGUGGCUCGCCUCCAUCAACUUGUUCCCGUGUAGUCUCUCUCCUCCGCCCCCCCAUCCCUCUGCCUGCCUGCGUCUCUUGCGGUUUUCCUUCAUCAUCGCUGUCGCGCCUACGCCACCACCGCGUCAACGGACCCACCCAG